CUUUCUGUUCGCCUACUCUUAUAUAUAUAUAUAUAUGUAUAUAUAUAUUUUAUUCUAGUAGUUCAUUCGAUAAUAAUAAUAAGGUCCUGUCUCGUUUUAAGUAUUUUAACUCCCGAUCACCGCUACCCUUUCCGAUUGAUCUGAGUCCCAUAACGCAUGUCAAGGCUCUGCCCGACUAAGUUCGUUUGGAUUCUAUCUCGGGACUUCGGGACAAGGUUGAAUUAGGGGUACUAUACUUAACACGAGUGCAUUAUAUUUUUAUAUAGCUCAAAAGUUAUACCCAAAAUUUAUACCAGGAAUCUUUCUAGUUGAACCCUAAAGUUACACAAGGGGUCCAUUCUCUUUUCUCACCGCUUUAUUCUCUUUUUGUAAUUUACCCAAAACUAUUAUUUAUUAUUCUAUUUUAUAAACAACUCUCAUCAAAAAGUCAUGCCUAUUAUUUUAUUUACCCAAUAGGAAACCCUAGUUGAGACACUCAAGUAAUUCUGCACAAUCCCUAAAAUUUUCAGAAUAAUCAGAAUCAGGAUCAGGGCCCCUAAAACUCAAAGGGGGCAAUUCCCAUCCGAUAUUAUCUUCAAAAAUCUGUUGUCAAAAUUGAAUUUAGUCGUACAGUCGACUCAGCAAGCCUACCCCUAAACGUGUCCACCCUAGGCUAGAAAAUAGACCCGUCGCGCCACGCGACGGGUGCACAUGUUCUUGUCGCGACACGCGAGAGGGACGAUUUUCCAGCUAUAAAUAGAGGGCAGUGGGACUUGCAAUUGUGCGUUGGUUCGACAAUCAAAUUCAAAUUAUACUUCGAGUUAUAGUAGAAACAGUCUCCAAAUCACUAAUCAGUAUAGCGGGGUGCUGCUACGAUGCCGGGUAAUAACUCGAUCGCUAUUACGAUUCAUUUUCCGACCGAUCAAUAUAUCCAAUGGAUGUUUAAGUGCCACCCACAUUAGGAUUAUACUUUGUCGUUAAUUCGAUGGAUGUUUAAGUAUCGUACUUUUUCAUUCAUCGUUAAAUCGAUGGAUGUUUAAGUAUCGCACUUUGUCGUUCGUUGUGAGAAUUUGAUCUCGUGAGUUAUCGUAAUUGUUGUAUUAAGUUACCUACCUAGUUCGUAUGCACUAGGUUACAAGGCUAAAUCAAUAGGCUAAGCUCUGCCUGUGUAAAUCUGCAAUAUAUCAAGACUUAUCUGUAGACUAAACUUUGGCCGUAUGAAUCUGCAUGAUUAUAAUGUAAUUACAGUAGAUUGGAGUAAGGAUUGGAUCCGGCACUAAAAGACUUCAAGAAGUGGCUUAUUUUAUUAAUUAAAUCAAAUUAAGAAAUGUUGUUUUUAUUAAAAGCUACCUUUGUAAAACUUGGAAUUCAUUCCAUCCAUUUAAAUAAAAUACGGUGU
rnacentral:lncRNA from 1 species